UACGUAGGGGGCAAGCGUUGUCCGGAUUUAUUGGGCGUAAAGAGCGUGUAGGCGGCCAGGUAGGUCCGCUGUGAAAGUCCGAGGCUCAACCUCGGAAUGUCGGCGGAAACCCUCUGGCUAGAGUCCGGAAGAGGAGAGUGGAAUUCCCGGUGUAGCGGUGAAAUGCGCAGAUAUCAGGAAGAACACCCGUGGCUAAGGCGGCUCUCUAGUACGGUACUGACGCUGAGACGCGAAAGCGUGGGGAGCGAACAGG
rnacentral:rRNA from 1 species